rnacentral:lncRNA from 1 species
GAAGAGAGAGAAAAUUAAAAUGAAAGUGAGAAAGUGUGAAAAAAAAAGACAAAAAAAUUUAAAAUUUGAAUUAAGAAAAGAAAAGGAAGAGAGAGAAAGUUAAAAAUAAAAAGUAAGAAAUGAAUGAGGUGGAAAAAAAGAUAGUUUUAAUUUUUUUUAAUAUUUAUAAAUUACAAAAAUGUCCUUUUGUUAAUAUAAUCUUUUAA